GUGCAACCGGGGAAGUAGCGGAGCCCUGUACCUGCAAUCCGCUCCAGCAGGGGUGAUGCCGACCUGAGGGCCUAUGUCAGUGUAAACGCCCUCUGUAAGUGGUGAUGAAGUUUGGGUCUUACGCAAUGAGAAUCCAUGAACCGUGUCAGGGCAGGAAUGCAGCAGCACUAAGCGGAACCUCUCAUGUGCCGUGAGGGUGCCUGGCGGAGCUAACUGCAGAGGAAACAUGCAUUUGCGGCAGUUCGAAGGAAGGCGCACGG
rnacentral:SRP_RNA from 1 species